GAUCCAGACUCCUACGGGAGGCAGCAGUGAGGAAUAUUGGUCAAUGGGCGCGAGCCUGAACCAGCCAAGUCGCGUGAGGGAUGACGGCCCUACGGGUUGUAAACCUCUUUUGUCGGGGAGCAAAUUCCGUUACGUGUAACGGAGUCGAGAGUAUCCGAAGAAAAAGCAUCGGCUAACUCCGUGCCAGCAGCCGCGGUAAUACGGAGGAUGCGAGCGUUAUCCGGAUUUAUUGGGUUUAAAGGGUGCGUAGGCGGACUGUCAAGUCAGCGGUAAAAUUUCGGGGCUCAACCCCGUCGUGCCGUUGAAACUGGCGUUCUUGAGUGAGCGAGAAGUAUGCGGAAUGCGUGGUGUAGCGGUGAAAUGCAUAGAUAUCACGCAGAACCCCGAUUGCGAAGGCAGCCUUCCGGCGCCCUACUGACGCUGAGGCACGAAAGUGCGGGGAUCGAACAGGAUUAGAUACCCUGGUAC
rnacentral:rRNA from 1 species